GGUAAAAUGGCUGAGGCAUAAGCGGUAAAUUGUAAAUUUAUUAACAAGGUUUUCCUUUUUUAUCAGU
rnacentral:tRNA from 1 species